rnacentral:rRNA from 1 species
GAGCUAAUACCGGAUAAUAUUUUGAACCGCAUGGUUCAAAAGUGAAAGACGGUCUUGCUGUCACUUAUAGAUGGAUCCGCGCUGCAUUAGCUAGUUGGUAAGGUAACGGCUUACCAAGGCAACGAUGCAUAGCCGACCUGAGAGGGUGAUCGGCCACACUGGAACUGAGACACGGUCCAGACUCCUACGGGAGGCAGCAGUAGGGAAUCUUCCGCAAUGGGCGAAAGCCUGACGGAGCAACGCCGCGUGAGUGAUGAAGGUCUUCGGAUCGUAAAACUCUGUUAUUAGGGAAGAACAUAUGUGUAAGUAACUGUGCACAUCUUGACGGUACCUAAUCAGAAAGCCACGGCUAACUACGUGCCAGCAGCCGCGGUAAUACGUAGGUGGCAAGCGUUAUCCGGAAUUAUUGGGCGUAAAGCGCGCGUAGGCGGUUUUUUAAGUCUGAUGUGAAAGCCCACGGCUCAACCGUGGAGGGUCAUUGGAAACUGGAAAACUUGAGUGCAGAAGAGGAAAGUGGAAUUCCAUGUGUAGCGGUGAAAUGCGCAGAGAUAUGGAGGAACACCAGUGGCGAAGGCGACUUUCUGGUCUGUAACUGACGCUGAUGUGCGAAAGCGUGGGGAUCAAACAGGAUUAGAUACCCUGGUAGUCCACGCCGUAAACGAUGAGUGCUAAGUGUUAGGGGGUUUCCGCCCCUUAGUGCUGCAGCUAACGCAUUAAGCACUCCGCCUGGGGAGUACGACCGCAAGGUUGAAACUCAAAGGAAUUGACGGGGACCCGCACAAGCGGUGGAGCAUGUGGUUUAAUUCGAAGCAACGCGAAGAACCUUACCAAAUCUUGACAUCCUUUGACAACUCUAGAGAUAGAGCCUUCCCCUUCGGGGGACAAAGUGACAGGUGGUGCAUGGUUGUCGUCAGCUCGUGUCGUGAGAUGUUGGGUUAAGUCCCGCAACGAGCGCAACCCUUAAGCUUAGUUGCCAUCAUUAAGUUGGGCACUCUAAGUUGACUGCCGGUGACAAACCGGAGGAAGGUGGGGAUGACGUCAAAUCAUCAUGCCCCUUAUGAUUUGGGCUACACACGUGCUACAAUGGACAAUACAAAGGGCAGCGAAACCGCGAGGUCAAGCAAAUCCCAUAAAGUUGUUCUCAGUUCGGAUUGUAGUCUGCAACUCGACUACAUGAAGCUGGAAUCGCUAGUAAUCGUAGAUCAG